GUCCGAUAUGGUCUAGUGGUUAGGAUAUCUCGCUCUCACUGGGCAUUCACGAGCAGCCGAGAUGGCCGGGGUGUGAGUUCGAGCACGUCCACGCUGGACA